GAUGAACGCUGGCGGCGUGCCUAAUACAUGCAAGUCGAGCGAACAGACGAGGAGCUUGCUCCUCUGACGUUAGCGGCGGACGGGUGAGUAACACGUGGAUAACCUACCUAUAAGACUGGGAUAACUUCGGGAAACCGGAGCUAAUACCGGAUAAUAUAUUGAACCGCAUGGUUCAAUAGUGAAGGACGGUUUUGCUGUCACUUAUAGAUGGAUCCGCGCCGCAUUAGCUAGUUGGUAAGGUAACGGCUUACCAAGGCAACGAUGCGUAGCCGACCUGAGAGGGUGAUCGGCCACACUGGAACUGAGACACGGUCCAGACUCCGACGGGAGGCAGCAGUAGGGAAUCUUCCGCAAUGGGCGAAAGCUUGACGGAGCAACGCCGCGUGAGUGAUGAAGGUCUUCGGAUCGUAAAACUCUGUUAUUAGGGAAGAACAAAUGUGUAAGUAACUAUGCACGUCUUGACGGUACCUAAUCAGAAAGCCACGGCUAACUACGUG
rnacentral:rRNA from 1 species